GCACAAGCGGUGGAGCAUGUGGUUUAAUUCGAUGCAACGCGAAGAACCUUACCUGGCUUGACAUCCCGGGAACUCCCCUGGAAACAGGGAGUGCCCUUCGGGAACCCGGUGACAGGUGCUGCAUGGCUGUCGUCAGCUCGUGUCGUGAGAUGUUGGGUUAAGUCCCGCAACGAGCGCAACCCUUGUCAUUAGUUGCUACAUUUGGUUGGGCACUCUAAUGAGACUGCCGGUGACAAGCCGGAGGAAGGUGGGGAUGACGUCAAGUCCUCAUGGCCCUUAUAGGUGGGGCUACACACGUCAUACAAUGGCUGGUACAAAGGGUUGCCAACCGCGGGGGGGAGCCAAUCCCAUAAAGCCAUUCGUAGUCCGGAUCGCAGUCUGCAACUCGACUGCGUGAAGUCGGAAUCGCUAGUAAUCGUGGAUCAGAAUGUCACGGUGAAUACGUUCCCGGGUCUU
rnacentral:rRNA from 1 species